rnacentral:rRNA from 1 species
GAUGAACGCUGGCGGCGUGCCUAAUACAUGCAAGUCGAGCGAACGGACGAGAAGCUUGCUUCUCUGAUGUUAGCGGCGGACGGGUGAGUAACACGUGGAUAACCUACCUAUAAGACUGGGAUAACUUCGGGAAACCGGAGCUAAUACCGGAUGAUAUUUUGAACCGCAUGGUUCAAAAGUGAAAGACGGUCUUGCUGUCACUUAUAGCUGGAUCCGCGCUGCAUUAGCUAGUUGGUAAGGUAACGGCUUACCAAGGCAACGAUGCAUAGCCGACCUGAGAGGGUGAUCGGCCACACUGGAGCUGGGACACGGUCCAGACUCCUACGGGAGGCAGCAGUAGGGAAUCUUCCGCAAUGGGCGAAAGCCUGACGGAGCAACGCCGCGUGAGAGAUGAAGGUCUUCGGAUCGUGAAACUCUGUUAUUAGGGAAAAACAUAUGUGGAAGUAACUGUGCACAUCUUGACGGUACCUAAUCAGAAAGCAACGGCUAACUACGUG